GAUGAACGCUGGCGGCGUGCCUAAUACAUGCAAGUCGAGCGAACGGACGAGAAGCUUGCUUCUCUGAUGUUAGCGGCGGACGGGUGAGUAACACGUGGAUAACCUACCUAUAAGACUGGGAUAACUUCGGGAAACCGGAGCUAAUACCGGAUAAUAUUUUGAACCGCAUGGUUCAAAAGUGAAAGACGGUCUUCCUGUCACUUAUAGAUGGAUCCGCCCUGCAUUAGCUAGUUGGUAAGGUAACGGCUUACCAAGGCAACGAUGCAUAGCCGACCUGAGAGGGUGAUCGGCCACACUGGAACUGAGACACGGUCCAGACUCCUACGGGAGGCAGCAGUAGGGAAUCUUCCGCAAUGGGCGAAAGCCUGACGGAGCAACGCCGCGUGAGUGAUGAAGGUCUUCGGAUCGUAAAACUCUGUUAUUAGGGAAGAACAUAUGUGUAAGUAACUGUGCACAUCUUGACGGUACCUAAUCAGAAAGCCACGGCUAACUACGUG
rnacentral:rRNA from 1 species